UAAACCCUCAGCUUCUGAGCGACACCAUUGC
rnacentral:piRNA from 1 species